rnacentral:rRNA from 1 species
UACGUAGGGGGCUAGCGUUGUCCGGAUUUAUUGGGCGUAAAGAGCGUGUAGGCGGCCAGGUAGGUCUGCUGUGAAAAACUCGAGGCUCAACCUCGAGACGUCGGCGGAAACCAUCUGGCUAGAGUCCGGAAGAGGAGAGUGGAAUUCCUGGAUGUAGCGGUGAAAUGCGCAGAUAUCAGGAAGAACACCCCGUGGCGAAGGCGGCUCUCUGGGACGGUACUGGACG